AUUGAACGCUGGCGGCAGGCCUAACACAUGCAAGUCGAGCGGAUGAGGAAAGCUUGCUUUUCGAUUUAGCGGCGGACGGGUGAGUAAUGCCUAGGAAUCUGCCUGUUAGUGGGGGAUAACUUGGGGAAACUCGGGCUAAUACCGCAUACGUCCUACGGGAGCAAGUGGGGGAUAUUCGGACCUCACGCUAACAGAUGAGCCUAGGUCGGAUUCGCUAGUAGGUGAGGUAAUGGCUCACCUAGGCGACGAUCUGUAACUGGUCUGAGAGGAUGAUCAGUCACAGUGGAACUGAGAGACGGUCCAGACUCCUACGGGAGGGAGCAGUGGGGAAUAUUGGACAAUGGACGAAAGCCUGAUCCAGCCAUGCCGCGUGUGUGAAGAAGGUCUUCGGAUUGUAAAGCACUUUUAGUUGGGAAGAAGGGUAUUCACCUAAUACGUGUGUACUUUGACGUUACCAACAGAAUAAGCACCGGCUAACUCUGUGCCAGCCGCCGCCGUAACAC
rnacentral:rRNA from 1 species